UUUCCGUAGGUGAACCUGCGGAAGGAUCACUAAAGAGAACUGCCUUCGGGCUAAUCUCCCACCCUUUGUUUACAUUACCUUUGUUGCUUUGGCAGGCCGCCGGGGCUCGCCCCGCUGCCGGCUCGCGCUGGCAAGCGCCUGCCAGAGGACCCCAAAACCUGAAUGUCAGUGUCGUCUGAGUAUCAUAUAAUAAGUUAAAACUUUCAACAACGGAUCUCUUGGUUCUGGCAUCGAUGAAGAACGCAGC
rnacentral:misc_RNA from 1 species